rnacentral:rRNA from 1 species
CUACGGGAGGCAGCAGUGGGGAAUAUUGCACAAUGAGCGAAAGCUUGAUGCAGCCAUACCGCGUGUGUGAAGAAGGCCCGAGGGUUGUAAAGCACUUUCAAUUGUGAGGAAGGUUCAGUAGUUAAUACCUGCUGUUCUUGACGUUAACUUUAGAAGAAGCACCGGCUAACUCUGUGCCAGCAGCCGCGGUAAUACAGAGGGUGCAAGCGUUAUUCGGAAUUACUGGGCGUAAAGCGCGCGUAGGCGGACUAUUAAGUCAGUUGUGAAAGCCCUGGGCUCAACCUGGGAACUGCAUCUGAUACUGGUAGUCUAGAGUUUAAGAGAGGGAAGUGGAAUUCCAGGUGUAGCAGUGAAAUGCGUAGAUAUCUGGAGGAACAUCAGUGGCGAAGGCGACUUCCUGGCUUAAAACUGACGCUGAGGUGCGAAAGCGUGGGUAGCGAACGGGAUUAGAUACCCGUGUAGUC